CAUCCGGCAUGGAAACAUGUCGGAAGACCGGGCAGGAGUCAGCCGAGGUCAUAGUAGUUCCUCUCAUGGGAACGAAGGAC
rfam:Desulfobulbaceae bacterium DB1 DB1_contig_2, whole genome shotgun sequence.